rnacentral:rRNA from 1 species
UAGGGAAUAUUGCACAAUGGGGGAAACCCUGAUGCAGCAACGCCGCGUGAGUGAUGAAGGCCUUCGGGUUGUAAAGCUCUGUCGUGAGGGAAAAAUAAAUUGAUGGUACUUCACAAGAAAGGACCGGCUAACUUCGUGCCAGCAGCCGCGGUAAUACGAAGGGUGCAAACGUUGCUCGGAAUUAUUGGGCGUAAAGCGCACGUAGGCGGCAUAGCAAGUCGGAUGUGAAAUCCCUCGGCUCAACCAAGGAAGUGCAUCCGAAACUGCUGUGCUUGAGUACGAAAGAGGAUCGCGGAAUUCCCGGUGUAGAGGUGAAAUUCGUAGAUAUCGGGAGGAACACCAGUGGCGAAGGCAGCGCACUGGCCAAAAUCUGACGCUCACACACGAAAGCUAGGGUAGCGAAGAGGAUUAGAUACCCCCGUAGUCCCUGAGCGGGCUGGCAAGGCGCAU